rnacentral:rRNA from 1 species
UACGGGGGGGGCAAGCGUUGUUCGGAAUUACUGGGCGUAAAGCGCACGUAGGCGGCUUUGUAAGUUAGAGGUGAAAGCCCAGGGCUUAACCCUGGAAUUGCCUUUAAGACUGCAUCGCUAGAAUCGUGGAGAGGUGAGUGGAAUUCCGAGUGUAGAGGUGAAAUUCGUAGAUAUUCGGAAGAACACCAGUGGCGAAGGCGACUCACUGGACACGUAUUGACGCUGAGGCGCGAAAGCUAGGGGAGCAAACAGG